rnacentral:rRNA from 1 species
CCUACGGGAGGCAGCAGUGAGGAAUAUUGGUCAAUGGGCGCGAGCCUGAACCAGCCAAGUAGCGUGAAGGAUGACUGCCUUACGGGUUGUAAACUUCUUUUAUAAAGGAAUAAAGUGAGGCACGUGUGCCUUUUUGUAUGUACUUUAUGAAUAAGGACCGGCUCACUCCGCGCCAGCAGCAGCGGUAAUACGGAGGAUCGGAGCGUUAUCCGGAUUUAUUGGGAUGAAAGGGAGCGUAGAUGGGUUGUUAAGUCAGUUGUGAAAGUUUGCGGCUCAACCGUAGAAUUGCAAUGGAUACUGGCAGUCUUGAGUACAGUUGAGGUAGGCGGAAUUCGUGGUGUAGCGGUGAAAUGCUUAGAGAUCACGAAGAACACCGAUUGCGAAGGCAGCUUACUAGACUGCCACUGACAUUGAUGCUCGAAAGUGUGGGGAUCAAACAGGAUUAGAUACCCUUGUAGUC